UCGAUUCUGAGAGUGAGGAGGAGGAGGAAAGACAAUCCAGGAAAAACCGUCCUAAACCACCUGCGGUGUCCACCAUCAGAAAUCACCAAGCAGCGUCAUUCACAACUUAAACACAGCUACCUUCACCACCCGCUUGAGUCUGGAGCAAUCAGAAAGAAACUGGUGCAUCACCUGGCAGUCAUUGGAGGAAAGGAGCUGAGAGCUCAUCACAACCCACCGUGCAGAACAGUACAGCUUCCGUGGACAGAAGAGCUGAACAGCACUUGGUGGCCGUGAUAUUUAGGGCUGUACGAAAGAUUCAAGGGUCAGAUACUCUGAUACUGAGAUCCAGGCUGUGGUGGGAGAUCGGCUGAAACAUGCCAAAUGUCGUAAAGACAAGUCGGCCCAUGCAGAACAUGAAAAGGAAAAGACUAUGCAGCAUUGCUUGUUAGAACAUUUUAUCUAUACACAACAGUCUUCUACUCAGU